GUCACUGCUAUUGGGAUUCGACUAAGCCAUGCGAGUCGAGAGGGUUCGGCCCUCGGCUGACGGCUCAGUAACACGUGGAUAAUCUGCCCUUAGGUGGAGGAUACCCUCGGGAAACUGAGAAUAAUACUCCAUAGGCCUAGGAUGCUGGAAUGCAUCUAGGCUCAAAGUUCCGGCGCCUAAGGAUGAGUCUGCGGACUAUCAGGUUGUAGUCAGGGUAAUGACCUGACUAGCCUACGACGGAUAUGGGUUGUGAGAGCAAUAACCCAGAGAUGAUAUCUGAGACACGAUAUCAGGCCCUACGGGGCGCAGCAGGCGCGAAAACUUCACACUGUGCGAAAGCGCGAUGAGGGAAUCCCAAGUGCUUGCUCGUAAGAGUAAGCUGUUUUUAUGUUUAAAACGCAUAGAGAGUAAGAGCUGGGUAAGACGGGUGCCAGCCGCCGCGGUAAUACCUGCAGCUCGAGUGGUGGCCGCUAUUAUUGGGCCUAAAACGUCCGUAGCCGGUUUAAUAAAUGCCUGGGUAAAUCGUGUAGCUCAACUAUACGAAUUCCGGGUAGACUGUUAAACUUGGGACCGGGAGAGGCUAGAGGUACUCCUGGGGUAGAGGUGAAAUUCUGUAAUCCUAGGGGGACCACCAGUGGCGAAGGCGUCUAGCUAGAACGGGUCUGACGGUGAGGGACGAAGCCCUGGGGCGCAAACCGGAUUAGAUACCCGGGUAGUCCAGGGUGUAAACGCUGCUUGCUUGAUGUUAGUCGGGCUCCGAGCCCGAUUAGUGUCGGAGAGAAGUUGUUAAGCAAGCUGCCUGGGAAGUACGGCCGCAAGACUGAAACUUAAAGGAAUUGGCGGGGGAGCACAGCAACGGGUGGAGCGUGCGGUUUAAUUGGAGUCAACGCCGGA
rnacentral:rRNA from 1 species